UAUAUAAAGAGAACAAAUUGGGCGAAAUUAGUAGAAGGUGGAAUUUUGUCAACAUGUUCAAACUUUACUUGUUGAUCUUACUUAUAGCGUCCGUCUUUGCUGGAAAGAGUGGGUCUCGUCCGCGACAUCCCGAAUGCAUCAUCCACAGUGAUUGUAUUAGAUUCUGUUCAGAGAAUUGCGACGCUGCAGCGGUAGAUCCAUUAUGCUUUGACGAGCAGUGCUGGUGCCGGCCAGAAUCUUUCAAUGGGCGCAUGAAACUAAUGUAAUGGACAUGGCAAAUUAAUUUCCCUCUCUUCCGAAGAACAUGUGGCUACAUUUACAUCAUACUCUGUACAUAGUUUAGAUCAGUAAACAUGCAUGAAUCAG